UACGGGGGGAGCAAGCGUUGUUCGGAUUUACUGGGCGUAAAGGGCGCGUAGGCGGGCAGGCAAGUCGGAGGUGAAAGCCCACGGCUCAACCGUGGAAGUGCCCCCGAUACUGCCAGUCUUGAGGGAGGUAGGGGCGUGCGGAACUUCCGGUGGAGCGGUGAAAUGCGUAGAUAUCGGAAGGAACACCGGUGGCGAAAGCGGCGCGCUGGACCUCUUCUGACGCUGAGGCGCGAAAGCCAGGGGAGCAAACGGG
rnacentral:rRNA from 1 species